AGCUUCAGUAGCGUAUAUUAAAGUUGUUGCAGUUAAAAAGCUCGUAGUCGCAUUUCUGGCGAGAGGAUCCGGUCCGACCUUUUGGUGUGUUCUUGGGUCUCUUUCGCCAUCCUUGAGUGGUCCGUUCUGGCUUUAGGUUGUCGGAGCGUCAGCCGCUCAUCGUUUACUGUGAGAAAAUUAGAGUGUUCAAAGCAGGCUUAUGCCGUUGAAUAUAUUAGCAUGGAAUAAUAAGAUAGGACCUCGGUACUAUUUUGUUGGUUUGCGCACCAAGGUAAUGAUGAACAGGGACAGUUGGGGGUAUUUGUAUUUCGUUGUCAGAGGUGAAAUUCUUAGAUUUACGAAAGACAAACUACUGCGAAAGCAUUUACCAAGGAUGUUUUCA
rnacentral:rRNA from 1 species